UAUUGUUUUCUCUUAGGUUUGGAGAGAAGACAAAUUCUCCUUCAGACAUUUAUUGGAACUCCAUUGGUUUUAUCAUUGAUUUUUUAUCUAUUAUAUUAUUCAGACUAUGAUUUGUGUUAUUGCUUCUAUGUCUAAGUAAUCAUCUUGUUAGAUUGAGGGAUUUCAUGAGCUUAAUGUCAAAUUGAUAAUAAAUUAGGAUUGUUAGAUUAUCUAUAGAUCUACACCAGGGUGAUUU
rnacentral:lncRNA from 1 species